rnacentral:rRNA from 1 species
AGAGUUUGAUCCUGGCUCAGGACGAACGCUGGCGGCGUGCUUAACACAUGCAAGUCGAACGGAAAGGCCCACCACCUUGGUGGUGGGUACUCGAGUGGCGAACGGGUGAGUAACACGUGGGUGAUCUGCCCCGCACUGUGGGAUAAGCCUGGGAAACUGGGUCUAAUACCACAUACGACCAUGGCGUAGGGGUCAUGGUGGAAAGCUUUAUUGCGGUGUGGGAUGAGCCCGCGGCCUAUCAGCUUGUUGGUGGGGUAAUGGCCUACCAAGGCGGCGACGGGUAGCCGGCCUGAGAGGGUGGACGGCCACAUUGGGACUGAGACACGGCCCAGACUCCUACGGGAGGCAGCAGUGGGGAAUAUUGCACAAUGGGCGCAAGCCUGAUGCAGCGACGCCGCGUGGGGGAUGACGGCCUUCGGGUUGUAAACUCCUUUCGUUAGGGACGAAGCCACACCUUUUUUGGGUGUGGUGACGGUACCUUUGUUAAGAAGCACCGGCUAACUACGUGCCAGCAGCCGCGGUAAUACGUAGGGUGCGAGCGUUGUCCGGAAUUACUGGGCGUAAAGAGCUCGUAGGUGGUUUGUUGCGUCGUCUGUGAAAUUCCGGGGCUUAACUUCGGGGUGGCAGGCGAUACGGGCAUAACUAGAGUGCUGUAGGGGAGACUGGAAUUCCUGGUGUAGCGGUGGAAUGCGCAGAUAUCAGGAGGAACACCGAUGGCGAAGGCAGGUCUCUGGGCAGUAACUGACGCUGAGGAGCGAAAGCAUGGGGAGCGAACAGGAUUAGAUACCCUGGUAGUCCAUGCCGUAAACGUUGGGCACUAGGUGUGGGGGACAUUCCACGUUUUCCGCGCCGUAGCUAACGCAUUAAGUGCCCCGCCUGGGGAGUACGGCCGCA